AUAGAGAGAGAGAGAGAUGCUGUGAUCAGGAAGUGUUUUCCAGUAAGAAGCUUAGCCACUGCACUUGGAUAUGUUGGCCCCUGAGAUUUCCCCAAAAGUGGUAAACUCAACUGUAUUGUCUGUGAUAGUGGGGGGAACUGCAUUCAAGUUCUCUUC